AGCCUUACUUUUGGCCAUAGGCAGAGCAUUUAACUACCUAUUUUAAUGGUCACUUCUCUCAAAUGUAUCCUGGAUUUCCCUCUCUGUGUGGAAUCGGGCGGUUUCUUUUUCCUACCUCUCCGUCUUCGGGACGAGCCUGGCCGUUGGUAACCCCUGACAACCGUUCAAAGGAGGCGCGCGAGCGUUGCGCAGCUGCCGUGAUUUCCGCUCCGGCCUCGGGGAUCCCAAUCAAAAAAUGGCCGCCUUUCUACUGAUCAAACAUUAUGAUCAGCAUCGCCAACAUGGGAGAUGGGUCCGAAACCAGCUCUAUAAUUCAAUCCGCCUCAGACCAAAAGCAUGCCUCAAUUAUUUAGUGGUAUUUAUGCUGACGCCGAAGUUACGGGAGAGUCUUAGUUUUAUUUGGAGCAACACAGCAGGCCAGGCAGCAACAGAGAAGCAGGAAAGUUGACGUUUCGGUUCGGGACCCUUCUUCAGAAAUAGCAAAGUGCAUAAGCUGAAAAUCCACAAGAAGACAUCUGUAUUCCUCAUGGAGGAUUCCUGGAGAGAAUUUGUUAGAACCUAUCCCACCAUCCAAAGCAAAGGAAAUUUAACCAAUACAACUUGUCCAGAAAGACAUCCCAGUGCCAACAGCUUGAGGGUGUGUCGAAUAAUUUCAGGAUCGGAGUACCAUUUGGAACAAACUAUGAAAAAUGCCUUAUUUUUUGAGUUUAACUAAUAUUUCUCCUAUGAACUUCAAAGUUAACAUUUUUCAGCAUUUUCAUUUCUUAUUUGUUUCUCUUCAGACUUGUGUUUGUGCAUGUACAGGUGUUAGAUUUUUUAAAAAGCUGUAUAUGUUGUAUACGUGUAGUUGCAUAAUCCAAACUGUGAACGAUCGUUGCACUUUUUUAAGUAAGUGAAUUUUUGGUAAUAAACUAAUUGUUAUCAACUAAAGAAA